AGUUAUCUUGACAUUUUCUUCCUCCUUCUCCCCUUGGCUUGCUGCUGUGCCCUCCUGUGCUAGCUGGGAAGGUGUAUUCCUAUGUGGAAGUCUCAUUUCUGUGUCUCAGCUUCUUAAGAGAAUGAGCUGGCUCGGUACAUGCUACCUUCCAAGGUUCUAGUGCCAUGACACUUCUUUGUGAUACUUCUGUUUAAUUGCAGGCCCUGCAAAUCUCUUUCUGUACCUUCCUGUACAUGACUCCAGUGCUUGGUCUGGAGAUACUCAAUGCUUCCACAUGCAUUGUUUACUUGUUUUCUAAAUAUUUUAGGACUGAGAACCUGCCUUGAGGUUUUUCUUAGGACUAAGACUAGUGUAGGGCAUAUUUCCUCAGACACUGUAUAGACACCUCGGCAUGGAGGCAUUCUUCUGACCCUGUCUUUCUAGCUGCAAGUAUUUUGGUUUUGUUUUCUACUUUUAUAAAAUAAAAAUGAAGUAGUGCACACGCACAUUUUAGAAACCUAUAUUUAUUUACACCAACAUUAAAAAUGAAAAAGUAAAGUUACCAUUAUUUCACUACCCUGAGGUAAAUACAGUUAAUAUUUUGACAUUGAAGUGUUUUCUUUUCAGUUUUGUUUAUAUGAUUUUUGAUUAUGUGGCAUUAACAUCUUUGAUGACUGACUGAGUGUUCUUUAAUCAGUAAAGGAGUCUGUAAGCCCAUUUCCAAAUAUCCUGUUUCUUUUUAAACAAGAAAACACUUAAACAUUUAUCCCACUUGUUCUCAUCAGCGAAGCUGAACAAAUAAACAUGCAAACAGCAAACAAAGGUCUCUGGAGGGUUAUGCAAGCCUUGGUCACCGCAGCCCUGGCCCCUCUCAGCGUUCUCAGCUUCCAGGGGAAGCCUCUCCAGCCCCAAGACUUUGAGAAUAAAUGGUUUCUUUUUCUUCUCUGCCUGUUCUAGUUGGGAAGAUUCCCUAGACACGAGCUCACGUCUUCUGAAACUGGAAAAACCAGCCUUGUAUAUAAGUGAUGCUCCAAACCAUGCUUCGAGGAGAAUUUUCCACAGGAUUAACUUUUGAUAUCUUGGGGAGAGAGAAUGUUCACCAAGUGGGCACAGAGGGGAGACUGACAGGGUUUCUUCUCUUGUACGUUCUUGGGUCUUACAUUUCCUUUUAUUAAAUGCUGGAAGAUUCAUACAUUUCUUUCUACCGUGGAGAAUGACAGUUACAGUGGCAGAUUUGGUGCCCCAUUAAAGCAUUUCAACAAAAGAAGAAGCAUUUAAAAAAAAUCAAACAUAAUGAAAUUUAUCCAGACAUGAGCUUUUGAUUAAAGUGAUAAAUAUAAGUAAAAUAUAAAAUUGCUAUUAUAAUAUCUAUUUACAAGUCAUUCCAGGGAAGAACGUCAUUAAAAUAUUUGCCCCACGAAUACAAGCAUUUUCCUGAAAGGAAGGAUUAAUAAAGGGUCUAACACCAUGCCGAAUAAAGUUUUUAACUUAUGAAUUCGAUAUAUUUUAUAUAUCUCAAUAACUACUCUUUAUCUUUCUCAUUAGAGGGAAUAGAGUAAGCAUCAUUUUUGAGAAUU
rnacentral:lncRNA from 1 species